AGGAGUGAAGAGGAAGCUGGAUGCCGGACCACGCCUUGCCAGGGAUAAAACAGGCUGUCCCUGUGCCAAAAGAAGGCGAUUAUAAGAGGCGCGGGCCCCCAAGGCAGCAACUUCCAGAGCAGAUAAGACCAGCGGAAGCGUGAACACCUUGCCUUGGGGAGAAUACCACCUGUACCAGCUGCCUGCCCUCAGAUCAUAU